GGGUACAUAGCUCAGCGGUAGAGCAACUGACUGCAGAUCAGUAGGUCCUCGGUUCAAUUCCGAGUGUGCCCU